CUUCGUUCAAUGUUCUCGGAGCUGAGCAGCGUUUCCAAGGAGCAGCAGGUGGCACUCUCAGAACUCUUCAACAGUUUCCUUCAUGCAGAAUUUCCUGAUCAUGGAGGCGCACAGUAUCACUUCUUGUCUGUACAGUGCCGCCGCCCUCUGUGCCUCUUUCCUUCUCGCCUCCACCCAGCGCUCCUCCAGAGCCAGGUUGCCAUUGAUGGGUCUGGUGUGUAUGAAUUUCUACUUUGAGAGGAAGCUCUACCAGCACGUCACCUUAUCCUGAACACAAACACAUGGAGGUGGUCGAUGUUUAUGUCGUGAUGUUGAGGAGGUGCAUGAUGGUGGUCGCAGUGUGUCUUUUGCUCUGGGUGUGUGCAAGCCACAAAGACCCCACCCAGCAGAGUCUUCUGGUCUUGCAGCAGCUCCAAGAAACACAGUGUCGCCUGCAGGAGGUGCUGCAGUGAGCAGAAAGUUUUGGGCAAUGGAAGGUCAAAAACCCUCAACUUGAGGUGAAGGGAAGACAAAAAGAGACAUUGAAGAAAGUCAGAUGUCAAGAAGAGAGAGACAUGGCAUUUCCAAGCACAGAUGCCUCAGACCUCACAUCUCUCAAUCAUUGGUUGGAGCGCUGAUCAUCAUCUCAGAAAUACAGCAGUCACAACGGUGACAGACACUUCAGUGCUGACUGUCAUUACCCCCAAUGCCGCAGUGACUCCAGGCCGGCAUCCUCGCAGGCGCUCCGCCUUCUCUUCUUCCUCCCCUCUGGUUUACAGCAUUCUUGUGGAAGAUAAGCAGGUUGACCAGGUCCAAACACGUUACAGCCUCAGGAGCAGAAGAUCUCAAAACCUCUGAGUUGAACUUUUAAAACAAAAGAUUUUUAAUCGUCAAAUUCAAUAAAGUGAAUUGCAAUUUUAUGUUUUGGCCUAUUUAAAAUUGGACUUCCCAAACACAAUUUGAAAUGUGGACUCUGCAGACCACAGAACACUUUUUUCACUUUACAUCA